GUGCCCGUAGUUCAGUGGGUAGGGCGCUGGCCACAUAAACCAAGGCUGGCUGGUUCGAACCCAGCCGGGGCCA
rnacentral:tRNA from 1 species